rnacentral:tRNA from 1 species
CUUGGUAGCAAGUACUACUGCACUGUCUGCGGGACUACAAUCCGCCGCCUGAACUUGGCUAUACUACC